rfam:Solenopsis invicta Si_gnG.contig17344, whole genome shotgun sequence.
AAAAUGGCCCUUGUCAGGGCCACCACAAUAUUCAAAGCAAAUGAACU